UACGGAGGGUGCAAGCGUUAUCCGGAUUCACUGGGUUUAAAGGGUGCGUAGGCGGGCAGGUAAGUCAGUGGUGAAAUCUCCAAGCUUAACUUGGAAACUGCCGUUGAUACUAUCUGUCUUGAAUGUUGUGGAGGUGAGCGGAAUAUGUCAUGUAGCGGUGAAAUGCUUAGAUAUGACAUAGAACACCGCUUGCGAAGGCAGCUCACUCCACUAAUAUUGACGCUGAGGCACGAAAGCGUGGGGAUCAACCAGG
rnacentral:rRNA from 1 species